rnacentral:rRNA from 1 species
GACGAACGCUGGCGGCGUGCUUAACACAUGCAAGUCGAACGGAAAGGCCCUGCUUGCAGGGUGCUCGAGUGGCGAACGGGUGAGUAACACGUGGGUGAUCUGCGCCUUACUUUGGGAUAAGCCUGGGAAACUGGGUCUAAUACUGGAUAUGACCAUGCUGUCGGCGGUGUGGUGGAAAGAUUAGUUUCGGUGAUGGGUGAGCUCGCGGCGUAUCAGCUUGUUGUUGGGGGAGUGGCCUACCAAGGCGUCGACGGGUAGCCGGCCUGAGAGGGGGGAGGGCGGCAUUGUGACGACUGUACGGCGGAGAAUCCUACGGGGGGAGGCAGUGGGGGAGAUUGUUGAAUAGGGGGAGGCAGGAUGAAGCGGCGACGCGUGGGGGGUGACGGCGGUCGGGUGGUAAAAUACUUCCAGCGAUGGCGAAGAAGUGGUGGUGACGGUAGUGGGAGAAGAAGCACCGGCUAACUACGUG